AUUGAACGCUGGCGGAAUGCUUUACACAUGCAAGUCGAACGGCAGCACGGACUUCGGUCUGGUGGCGAGUGGCGAACGGGUGAGUAAUGUAUCGGAACGUGCCCAGUCGUGGGGGAUAACGUAGUGAAAAUUACGCUAAUACCGCAUACGAUCUAUGGAUGAAAGCGGGGGAUCGCAAGACCUCGCGCGAUUGGAGCGGCCGAUAUCAGAUUAGGUAGUUGGUGGGGUAAAGGCCCACCAAGCCAACGAUCUGUAGCUGGUCUGAGAGGACGACCAGCCACACUGGAACCGAGACACGGUCCAGACUCCUACGGGAGGCAGCAGUGGGAAAUUUUGGACAAUGGGCGAAAGCCUGAUCCAGCCAUUCCGCGUGCAGGAUGAAGGCCCUCGGGUCGUAAACUGCUUUUGUACAGAACGAAAAGGUUUCUACUAAUACUAGGAGCUCAUGACGGUACUGUAAGAAUAAGCACCGGCUAACUCCGUGCCAGCAGCCGCAGUAA
rnacentral:rRNA from 1 species